CUGAUUUGCAUAUAUUACCCAGUCUGGCUGUUGUUAUUUUGUUCAGACUGAAACGGGAAGUGGUAUAAACUCUAAUAGCAGUAAAGACGAGUCGUCUUCACACACAUCUCUCUCUAUAUCAGUGUAAAAGCGUCACAGUCGAGCGCUGCAGCUCUUUCACUCUUCUCUGGUGGAGUGAAUGUACAUGAUGGAAAUAUCUGUGACGUUCCUCCUCACUGGAUGUCUGAUACAAGGAGUUUUCUGUGAUUUUAAAAUCAAUCUGCCGAAGAGAGUAGAAGCUCUAGAAGGAUCCUGUGUUAUCAUACCCUGCACAUUUGAUAUUGAUCAAAAAUAUGAAAAAAAUCUCACUGAUAGUGCAAAGAGAAUAUGGUAUAAAGACUUACAGUCUAAAAACAUAGCGUUUGACUCCAGUAGCCCCGACAUUGGACCGUUAAGAGGAGAAAUAUUUGGCACUCCUACAGAGAAAAACUGCACCACCCGCUUCAAUAAUGUCGAGCAGAAAGAUGAAGGGUCAUAUUACUUCAGAAUUGAGACCAAGCAUAAACUGAAACAUAGCUACCCAAAACCUGUUGAAAUUG